CUAAAAUUUUGGGUAAGUGAUAUCAUGAUACAGUGGAGGUGGGGGAAUUAGGCCUGUAGGUUUGCCAUCUUAUAAGAAAGACUGGUGGCAUUCUAGGGUACAUAUUAGUGGAGGUAGGAUGAGUUAGGCCAAGGCUCAAUACCAAAUUAUAAGGAACACACAUUACUAACGAGACAAUCUAAGGAACAUCAGUCUCAAUUGACCAAAGGUUAAGUACAGAGUGCAAGCUCUUGCAAUGGAGAACCAUGCUCCAUAUGACACUCAAGUUGCAACAAAUUUGAUCACAACUUGCUCUCGAGAAGUCUUAACUAGAAAAAGUAAACUUCUUACUCAAACUUCUCUCAAGAUAGAAGACAAAGAUAACACGAGGACAUCAACUUUCAGCUCCUGCACUGCCAAAGAGGCGAAAGAAAAUUCCCAGAAAAUUCUGUUGUCAAUUUAUCAAUCAUCAAUGGCAGGACAUAAUGCUUUUGGCACUAAAUUUUGCAAACCAUAAUAAAUGACACAAAUUUACA